rnacentral:lncRNA from 1 species
UUUUUUGGAUGCUUAUUUGGCAUAUGAGCCAGAAAUUUAAAAUGUAACAAAAAAUAUGUCUUGAAAAAAAUUAAAAACAGGCAUUUGCAGCACGAUGGAAAAGUUCUAUAGAGCUUUGAGGGAAGUCCAUUCAAUUUCACUGGCAUUCAUAAAUGAUGACUAAUGCAUUCAAAUAGAAUGAGUAAUUUACCAAAUUACAGACAUUUGGAUGGGCUCAGAAUGAAGAUGUUGUUUGUUUGGAUAUGUCCUGAAGUGAAUCUCAAUGAGGUUUACUUUGUUAUGCCUGACUCUACAAAUAGACUUCAGUCACAAUUUGAACAAAAGCCCUGACAUGUAAAUAAAUGUGCAAAUGAUGCCCAGCUACAUUAUUCUUUUUGUCCUCGGACCACUCAGGAACAGUCAACUCCAUUAAAAAAUAUCAGUCACAAAUAGAUGGCACCAUUGUACUUAUCACAAAAGCACCAUAAAAUAGGCUUCUCUUGGCAAGUUAUCAGUGUUAUACCCAUUCUCUUCACGCCACAAAAACCAAGUCCACACAUGCUACAAAAUACCUCUCCUAGCAGCCAUGGGCUACCCUACAAAAAGUGGACCCUCCACACUUGCAUGCUAGUGCCUCAUAAUAUUGGCAUCUCCUAUCGGACAGCACAAGAAAAGAGCUUUAAAAUUCAGAAUGCUUCUUUUAAAGGGCUUCCACCCACUGUUAUGAAGCAGAGAUGAAGGGCAACAGCAAACCCAAUUUCCAGUCACAACAACAUAUGCAUUGCUAAAUGUCUUGUGAUGGGGCUCAAACUCCAACACACUUUGGCAGUUUCUGUAAAGGUCAGAAAUUCCAGGUGAUAAUAUAAAAUCAAUCCUUCAUAUAAUUGUUUCAUAUGUAUCCCAAAAUGAAUUAGACCUACUAUACAUCUGGUCCAAAAAUUCUGAACAUUUGCUAAAGUUGACUGAAAAAAUAAAAAUAUAACCUUUGCCUCAUAAACUGAAUUGAAUUACUAACAAAUUAUUCUAGAGGUAAUCACUUCAUUACUUCAGCUACAAAAUCUACCUAAUUGGAUUUUGAUAAUCAGGGGAAAUCUUACUACUACCGUGUCCAAAGCAGUUCUGUCCAUUUUCCUGCCAGAAUGGUCAUGAUCCUGGCAACUGUUAGCCUGUUCAUUCUGAGGCUUCAUUCAAAUACAUAUAUACCACACCAAAUAUACCACAGAUACAGCAGAAAUGGUUCCUGAGACCUGGAGGAUACAAUCUUGCAUAGAAGAGAUAUGUUGACCAAGUGACUGGAGGAUCAUAAGGGCUGUAAAUUACCAGUACAAAAUUCUGUGGAAGAUUACCACAGAAUUACCACAGAUUCCCUUGUUCCCUAGUCUAAGGGAACAAGGAUGGCUUCUCUAAGGAGCGAUGUUUAAGCUGAGACUUGAAGGGUGGUGCUACUGACGAGGUGAGUAAGUAGCAUGAGCAGGUAGGAGGAUUCCAAGCCAAAGAAACAGGACAUCCAGAGGCUCCAGACGAAGGAGGAUGAUGUAUGUGGAACUGCACCGAGGCUAGUGUGGCUGGAGUAGAGAGAGGCAGGAAGUGUCUAAGGCUGAGGCACCAGAGGCAAGAGUCAGUCAGAUCAUCCUAGGCCUUAGAAACUUCUUAGAGCCUGUGGGUUUUAUUCCAGAGAUGACUAAAAGUCAUUAGAAGGUGGAAGAGUUUUGCUAGGGCUGCCUUGACGAAGUACCACAGACUGAGUGGCUGAACCAAUUCAUUUUCUCACAAUUCUGGAAUUUAGAAGCCCAAGAUCAUGAUGUCAGCAAGAAUGUUUUCUCACAAUUCUGGAAUUUAUUUUAUCACAAUUCUGGAAGUUAGAAGCCCAAGAUUGCGAUGCCAGCAAGGUUGGUUUCUUCUGAGGGCUCUCUCCUCGGCCUGUAGAUGGCUGUCUUUUUCCCUGUGUCUUCACAUGGUCUUCCUUCUGUAUGCAGCUGUGUCAUAAUCUCUUCUUAUAAGGAUACUAGUAAUAUUGGAUUAGGAGCCACCCAUCCCAGUGACCUUAUUUUAACUAAGUUAGCUCUUUAAAGAGCCUAUCUCUAAACAUAGUCAUAUUCUAAGGUACUGGGGGCUACGGAUUCAAUAUAUAAAUUUUUCAGGGAUGCACAAUUCAGCCCAUACCAGAAGGUUUAGCAGAGGGCAAUUAUAUAACCCCAUUUAGGCUUGACACGUGCACUCUGCUUGUAAGUUGGAAAGUGUAGCAGAGGGCCAAGACAGAAGGUGGGCCAAGAGCCAAGGUGCCAUUGACAGGGCCUCUUCUGUAAUCCAGGGAAGAGACCACAGUGGGGCAGGGCCCCAGCUUUGCUUCCUGGAGACUGGUUUUGGCAGAAAUGUGAAUAUAAGCAAGCAUACUAUGAGAUACAUGAUCCAGUCACUGUAACCUUCUUUGGAACUAGUAUUGAUCCAGCAGCAGCUUUCAGUACUGAUCCUAAAAACAAAUAAUAUGAUCGGAUCAGAUCAUCACAAAGGGAGCAGGAAUUUGAAGGAUGUAUCUGGGUUAUUCAAACCGAAAACACCUAACUCCAGUUCAUUAAAAAUCAUUUCAUAUUUGUAUAAA